UAAAAGUUUGAUUUUUGCUUUAUUUUUAUUUACUUUAUUUUAGUGCAUGUAAAUUUUACUAAGUUUUAUUGUUCUAAAUGAUUAAUAAAUUUGUUUUCAGUAUUUAAGUUUUAUUUUCUUAUAAGUUAAGUUGAGAAAUUAAAGUUAAAAUAGAAUAAUGUUGUGCCAGCAUUCGCGGUUAUACAUCAUAUUUUAGGUAAAAGUUUUGGUGUUCAGUUUUUUUUUUAUAUUUUGUAUUUAGGUGAAAUUUGUACAUUUUAUAUUUUUUAUUUCUGACUAGGCUGGGCUGUAAACCAGGAUUAGAUACCCUGUUAUUCUUGGAUAAUUAAAUUUACUAGGGGAGUAAAUUUUAUUUUAAAUUCAAUGGAUCUGGCGGUUUUUUAAUCUUUUUAGAGGAACCUGUAAUUUAAAUGAUAGUCCACGAUUUAUUUUACCUUAAUUUUCUUGUAUAUCUCUGUCGUUGAAUGUAUUGAAAGUUAAUUUUCUUUUUUUUUUAAAAAAAUUUAUGUUAGGUCAAGGUGCAGUUAUAUUAGGGUUAUUAUGGGUUACAUUAAUUUUAUUUUUCUUUGAUUUUAUUUUAGAUUAUAUCUUGAUUUUGGAUUUAAAAGUAAUUUUUUUUAUUAAAUUUUUUGAAUUUAGCUCUAGCUUAUGUACAUAUCGCCCGUCAUUCUCAUAAAUUGAGACAAGUCGUAACAAAGUAGAUGUAUCUGAAGAUGUAUCUAGAAUCAG
rnacentral:ncRNA from 1 species